UUCUGAAGGGCAAUUUUUGUGAAUGAACUUUGCCGUUGUUGUAUACCAAAAAAUUGAUUGUACUAGCUCCCCGCUCUGGUUCGCCGUGCUCCUCCGGCAGCGAGGUAGAUCUCCGAGCGUGAAGUUUGGCUACUGGGUAGAGGUUUUUGAUUCAUCAACAAAACCAUGGCCCUCCUCCGGCUAGCGAUGACGGACCUCCGAAGUUGCAGGAAUCGAAGACGCGCAACGCAGCGCAGCGAAUAGGGGUGCAAGCCGAGUGAGCGGCGGCGGCGGUGCAAGCCGAGCGAGGCCGGAACAACCAUCUAUAUCUCUCCGAAGAGCAGGGAGCAGCGGCGAUAAUUGACUCGGAUCCAACGAACGAUGCUUCAAAAGCAAUUCAUGGAAUGAAUGGGCCCAUCAACACAAAAAAGGGGAAGAAAUGAAAUUCAUCUCACUUAAAGACUACAACAUGAUAUUUAACAUUAGAUAGGGUCAAAAUGAAAUUUUAAAGAAGACCCACUAACAAAGCAGCAACCUCUGCCAGAGAGGACAGGCUAAUGCUGCGCCUCAUUGUGACAGGCACUUCCUAAAACUCACCUUUUGAAAGGUAGCCUAUUUGUCAUACUUCAGAUGCACUUUAAAAGUGUUGUCUAAUGUAUCUAAAACCAAAUAUAAACCAACACUUUAGUAAAUUUUUAUCCCCUUUUCACCAACACUUAAACGUGACUGGCUUCCUUUCUCCCUUUUCCCCUUCGCGCGCCAUUGAGCUUCACCAAAAAUCAGAGAAAGGUCACCCUCACGCCGUCACUCAUCAUCCUUUUCCCCUCUUCCCCACGCCGUCACUCAUCACCCUCACGCCGUCACCGUCGCCCCUCUUCCCCGCUCCCCACUCUCCACUCUCCACUCACUACUCACGCACACCACUUCGCUACUGGAGAAUCGUCGCUCCUCUUCAUCCUUCUGCUCUGGCUGUCACUUCGAACUCACCAUCGGGAAGAACCGCGUUCAUCCUCUCUUCGCUCAUCGUCGUCGAGAAGGGGUGUUCUCAAGAACAGGGCUAUUAUAAUGGCAUGUGUCUGCAACAGUGCUACUCUAUGAAUUUGCUUCAUCUUACGUUUUGCUUACUCUGGUUUGUGCAUGCCUUCAAUUUUGGUUCUUAUGAUUUUGUGUGUGUGUGUUCAGCUGCUUGAAAAUGAAAUCAUUAAUUAGUGUUUAUUCAGUUCUGUUCUAUUCUGAAUAAACCUUUGAAUUCCAUUAUAUUGUUUAUUUGAUGUUGUCGUGAAUUGUGAUAAGACAACUGGAAAAUCAUACACAAAAUUGUACUGAUAUUAGGUGUGUUGUAGUGUUGAGUUGAGAAUCUUGAUGCGUAUUAGAAAGUAGUAUUAUGACACUGACUUCA